rnacentral:rRNA from 1 species
AUUGAACGCUGGCGGCAUGCCUUACACAUGCAAGUCGAACGGUAACGGGCCUUCGGGUGCCGACGAGUGGCGAACGGGUGAGUAAUACAUCGGAACGUGCCCGAUCGUGGGGGAUAACGAGGCGAAAGCUUUGCUAAUACCGCAUACGAUCUACGGAUGAAAGCAGGGGACCGCAAGGCCUUGCGCGGACGGAGCGGCCGAUGGCAGAUUAGGUAGUUGGUGGGAUAAAAGCUUACCAAGCCGACGAUCUGUAGCUGGUCUGAGAGGAUGAUCAGCCACACUGGGACUGAGACACGGCCCAGACUCCUACGGGAGGCAGCAGUGGGGAAUUUUGGACAAUGGGCGCAAGCCUGAUCCAGCCAUGCCGCGCGCAGGAUGAAGGCCUUCGGGUUGUAAACUGCUUUUGUACGGAACGAAAAGCCUUCUUUUAAUACAGGAGGGUCAUGACGGUACCGUAAGAAUAAGCACCGGCUAACUACGUG